CUGGUUUUUUUUUUUUUUUUUUUUUUUUUUUUUC
rnacentral:ribozyme from 1 species